UGCCGAAAGGCGGGCUAAUACCGUAAUAUGAUGGCGUCGCGCAUGCGAUGUUGAUCAAAAAUGGGGAUCCUUCGGGACCUGUCGCUUGGAGAGGAACCCGCGUCCUAUCAGCUAGUUGGUGAGGUAACGGCUCACCAAGGCUAUGACGGGUAGCUGGUCUGAGAGGAUGGUCAGCCGCACUGGGACUGAGACACUGCCCAGACUCCUACGGGAGGCUGCAGUCGAGGAUCUUUUGCAAUGCACGAAAGUGUGACAAAGCGACGCUGCGUGGAGGAUGAAGGCCUUCGGGUCGUAAACUCCUGUCGUCCGGGAACAAUGACGGGUGGGUGAAUAUCCCAUCCGAGUGAGAGUACCGGAAGAGGAAGCCACGGCAAACUCUGUGCCAGCAGCCGCGGUAAUACAGAGGUGGCGAGCGUUGUUCGGAUUUACUGGGCGUAAAGGGUGCGUAAGCGGUUCCGUGUGUCGAACGUGAAAUCCCACUGCUCAACGGUGGAAUUGCA
rnacentral:rRNA from 1 species